ACUGGGUGGCGUCUCUUCAUCUGUGGAGGGCACGCCGCAUGGAGGCCGGAGCUGCAGAGCACGAAGGCUGGAGGCGGAGCGCGUGCUGCGGCCUGCAUCUGCAAUCUGCCACUGCGGAACUCAGCUUUGACGAAGACAACUAGGCAAGUUGGCAAGGUUUUAGUUCUAUCAUAAGGUCAGUGCGUAUGUGUAUGCAGCAACGUCAUCUGCUUCAGGUCAUUUAACAGUACAUUUGGGCAAGAAGCCAAGUUUGUUCAUGCCGUUUUGAUGAUCACAAGCUAUCAAAAGCAGCUGUAUGGAGCCUCAUCCAGUGAAAUCAGCUGUUGAGGGUUUGAAGAGGUACGGGAAAGAAAAUUAUGAUGUCAUCUUUGAGGGUACAAGUGGGAGGCACAGACAAGAAGCGCAGCACUCUUUGGAAAAAUGUGGCAACCUUCUGAAGCAACAAAAAAUGGGUGGUCACUCUAGCUCAACAGAAUCAACGACAUGAGUUCUCCUGUCCGCCUAACCUAAGCAGCAGCACACGGGCGGCAACGACCCAACGAUGGUCUCUGAAGUGCGACCAGCAUGAAAGGGUCUCAAUCUCAGGUAUCUCGUCUACCUCUGUCUACAAUGCGGUGGUCACACCUACAGGUGCUUCAAACCCCUGCCUAUCCAUCAUGGUUCUUUUUUGGAAUCUCUUUGUUUGCAACAUGUUCAUGUCCACCUAUUGAUCUCCUAUUUUCCUAUUCAUCUUCUUUCAGACUUUCAGUUGAGUAUACAAUGAAACAAUGGAAAAAUAUGAUUCAAUGUUGUUAGUCAAAUGUCCACAAACAAGAAGUUAAGGCAAUACCAAGGGAACGGGUGUCGGGGAACGGGUGCUGCCGCCGCUGCCUGCCCCCCCCCCCC